rnacentral:rRNA from 1 species
GAUGAACGCUGGCGGCGUGCCUAAUACAUGCAAGUCGAGCGAACAGAUGAGGAGCUUGCUCCUCUGACGUUAGCGGCGGACGGGUGAGUCACACGUGUAUAACCUACCUAUCUGACUGGUAUAACUUCGGGAAACCGGAGCUAAUACCGGAUAAUAUAUUGAACCGCGUGGUUCAUUGGUGAAAGACGGUUUUGCUGUCACUUAUAGCUGGAUCCGCGCUGGAUUAGCUAGUUGGUAAGGUAAAGGCCUACCAAGGCAACGAUGGGUAGCCGAGGGGAGGGGGGGAUCGGCCACACGGGAAGGGAGACACGGUCAAGAGUCCUAAGGGAGGCAGCAGUAGGGAAUCGUCCGCAGUGGGCGAAAGCCUGACGGAGCAACGCGGCGUGAGUGAUGAAGGUCUUCGGAUCGUAAAAAUCGGUUAUUAGGUAAGAACAAAUGUGUAAGUAACUAUGCACGGCUUGACGGUACCUAAUAAGAAAGCCACGGCUAACUACGUG